rnacentral:ribozyme from 1 species
UCUUUUUUCGUUUUUUUUUUUUUUUAAAAAAAAGAGAAGGAAAUAAAUAACAGGAGAUUUUUUUUUUAAAUUUAUUUAUGCGGGGAU